rnacentral:lncRNA from 1 species
UUUCGUUGUUUUCCUCUUAUAGUUGAUGUGUUUACCUCAGUUUUAGUUUGUAACCCGGAUUUGUUUUCUCUCGCUCGAUUUAUGUUUUUCGAACAGCGGUAUACUACUGUUGCCUUUAUUCAACUUCAGUAAAUAAUUUGGUGUCAUCUCGAGCAGCUUAACCUCAUAAUUAUACAAAUUUAUUCCAAUCCAAAUGAAUUCAAUUACUGUUUUAUUUGUUACCAAUGGUGAUAACCUGAAAUGUUUCUGGAUUUGUUAUCUUUUUUUGUAAUAACAAACCAAUAAAUCAAAACUGUCAUUCGUUUUACAAAUGCUAGUAUAUAACUUAUAAUCCGU